AACGAACGCUGGCGGCAGGCCUAACACAUGCAAGUCGAGCGAGGACUUCGGUCCUAGCGGCGGACGGGUGAGUAACGCGUGGGAACGUGCCCUUUGCUUCGGAAUAGCCCUGGGAAACUGGGAGUAAUACCGGAUGAGCCCUUUGGGGGAAAGAUUUAUCGGCGAAGGAUCGGCCCGCGUUGGAUUAGGUAGUUGGUGGGGUAAUGGCCUACCAAGCCGACGAUCCAUAGCUGGUUUGAGAGGAUGAUCAGGCACACUGGGACUGAGACACGGCCCAGACUCCUACGGGAGGCAGCAGUGGGGAAUCUUAGACAAUGGGGGAAACCCUGAUCUAGCCAUGCCGGGUGAGCGAUGAAGGCCUUAGGGUUGUAAAGCUCUUUCAGCUGGGAAGAUAAUGACGGUACCAGCAGAAGAAGCCCCGGCUAACUCCGU
rnacentral:rRNA from 1 species